GACGAACGCUGGCGGCGUGCUUAACACAUGCAAGUUGAGCGGUAAGGCCCUUUCGGGGGUACACGAGCGGCGAACGGGUGAGUAACACGUGGGUGACCUGCCCUCAGCUCUGGGAUAAGCCUGGGAAACCGGGUCUAAUACCGGAUAUGACUCCAUGACGCAUGUUGUGGGGUGGAAAGCCUUGUGCGGCUGAGGAUGGGCCCGCGGCCUAUCAGCUUGUUGGUGGGGUGAUGGCCUACCAAGGCGACGACGGGUAGCCGGCCUGAGAGGGCGACCGGCCACACUGGGACUGAGACACGGCCCAGACUCCUACGGGAGGCAGCAGUGGGGAAUCUUGCGCAAUGGGCGAAAGCCUGACGCAGCGACGCC
rnacentral:rRNA from 1 species